rnacentral:rRNA from 1 species
UGGCUUAAUUUGACUCAACGCGGGAAAUCUUACCGGGUCCGGACACACUGAGGAUUGACAGGCAAUAUUAGCACUUAGCUUCGGCGACGUGUUAUGUUAAAUAUGCUAGUCCUUUCAUGAUUAUGUGAUAGGUGGUGCAUGGCCGUUCUUAGUUCGUGGAGUGAUCUGUCUGCUUAAUUGCGUUUCACCAAGGGCCUAUAAUUUUACGUGUGUUGCGGCACUUUGACCCCUCUUUUUUUAAAGAGCGCGUGUCUUGGUUUGCUUAGCUCGCACAAUUAGGUCCUGAAAGCAACGAACGUGACCGCAACCUCUUGUUGCCUUUAUACCAAACGUGCAUAUGUAAUUUUUUAAUUGCUUUGCGCGCAAAAAGGCUUUUUAAACUAGAGGGACCGCUGUUACUUUCUUAAACCAGAGGAAGGUUGCGGCAAUAACAGGUCUGUGAUGC